AUUGCAGCUAAAGAAGGAGAUAUCCAGGUAGGGGAACUAUUGAAAGUCAAAGAGGAGACAUUAGAGUCAUUAUUAGAGACAUUAUUGAUCUUGAAGGGGUAAAGAAGAGUGAGGAAAGAAGAGUCUAGAAAGAAGGAUGUGGGAAUGGAGCAGAGCUACUGGGCAUGAAGGCAGAGCCAGUACCAGUGGAAGGGAAAAAAAAUAGUGGUAAAGAGGAAAAUAAGAACAUUCUGAGGAGAAAGAAUAGAUUUGGUAAUGAUAGAAGAAAAUUGGAUUUGGGGUUCUUAAAUAGCUCUUUGAGAAGUGGCUUUAGGAUGGGCUAGAAGGAUUUCAUCUGACACAUAAUUAGGGAGACAAUAUGCAGGCAUGGCCUGAUGAGAAGAAUUACAACAGGAUAAAGGAUAGAUAUCGAGGGCUGUGGAAGAAGCAGCAGGCCUGGAGUAAGCAAAAUGAAAAUGGAUCCUGAAGAAUGAGUGGCUCCAAAGUUACAAAAGCAAGUGAAGAGGAGAUGAGCAAAUGAAGGGGAAAAAACUCAAAAAGUCUGUGCCUCCCAGAGAGGAUGGCUUCCAGCCUCCUUUCUUGACUCUUCAGCUGAGGAAUUAUUCUCUCUCAUAAGAGGCUUGCAUGGACACAAGGGCAAGGUUCAGGCAGUUCCCCGUGUGUGAAAACCUCUCAGACUGGCACGUUGUAUAAAUUAUGACCCAAAACAUCAGAUUUCUGUUCUUUGUCUGAAUGACAUUUUCACCUGGGAAAUCAUGCAUUCCAUGGAGGCCACAGAAAGACAAGUGAAUGUCAAGGCUCUGUGACAAAUGCCAGCCACCUAAUCUCACUAAACUGCCCAGGAUGGCCUUGAACUUUU